rnacentral:hammerhead_ribozyme from 1 species
AUCCAGAUGAAGAGUCCUAAACAAGACGAAAUGCACAUCCUUGAU